rnacentral:rRNA from 1 species
GGUGAGUAGCACGUAGGCAACGUGCAUCUUCAGACUGGGAUAACAUAGGGGAAACUUUAUGCUAAAUUCCGGAUAAGGUUUUUGGAUCGCAUGAUCUGAAAAGAAAAGAUGGCUUUUCGCUAUCACUGGGAGAUGGGCCUGCGGCGCAUUAGCUAGUUGGUGGGGUAACGACCUACCAAGGCGACGAUGCGUAGCCGACCUGAGAGGGUGACCGGCCACACUGGGAAUGAGACACGGCCCAGACUCCUACGGGAGGCAGCAGUAGGGAAUUUUCCACAAUGGACGAAAGUCUGAUGGAGCAACGCCGCGUGAACGAAGAAGGUCUAAAGGAUUGUAAAGUUCUGUUGUCAGGGACGAACACGUACCGUUCGAACAGGGCGGUGCCUUGACGGUACCUGACGAGAAAGCCACGGCUAACUACGUCCAGCAGCCGCGGUAAUACGUAGGUGGCAAGCGUUGUCCGGAUUUAUUGGGCGUAAAGCGCGCGCAGGCGGCUAUGUAAGUCUGGUGUUAAAGCCCGGGGCUCAACCCCGGUUCGCAUCGGAAACUGUGUAGCUUGAGUGCAGAAGAGGAAAGCGGUAUUCCACGUGUAUCGGUGAAAUGCGUAGAGAUGUGGAGGAACACCAGUGGCGAAGGCGGCUUUAUGGUCUGUAACAGACGCUGAGGCGCGAAAGCGUGGGGAGCAAACAGGAUUAGAUACCAUGGUAGUCCACGCCGUAAACGAUGA